rnacentral:rRNA from 1 species
GACGAACGCUGGCGGCGUGCCUAAUACAUGCAAGUAGAACGCUGAAGGAGGAGCUUGCUUCUCUGGAUGAGUUGCGAACGGGUGAGUAACGCGUAGGUAACCUGCCUGGUAGCGGGGGAUAACUAUUGGAAACGAUAGCUAAUACCGCAUAAUAGCAGUUGUUGCAUGACAACUGUUUGAAAGGUGCAAUUGCACCACUACCAGAUGGACCUGCGUUGUAUUAGCUAGUUGGUGGGGUAACGGCUCACCAAGGCGACGAUACAUAGCCGACCUGAGAGGGUGAUCGGCCACACUGGGACUGAGACACGGCCCAGACUCCUACGGGAGGCAGCAGUAGGGAAUCUUCGGCAAGGGACGGAAGUCUGACCGAGCAACGCCGCGUGAGUGAAGAAGGUUUUCGGAUCGUAAAGCUCUGUUGUAAGAGAAGAACGAGUGUGAGAGUGGAAAGUUCACACUGUGACGGUAUCUUACCAGAAAGGGACGGCUAACUACGUG